CUCGAGCCAGCCUCUUCAGCAUGGAGAAGUCAGGCAGCUCAGGGGCGUCCGGCCGAUGGGGAAAAGCCAUGGCAGCGGUCACCUGCGCCGCGGGGUGGAAGGACGCCCUUCGUUCUGAGAAGGCCGGCCGCAGCCCAGGGAAGCGCAAGGGGGGCUAUCCUUCAGGCCUGGGCACCGACUUCCAGAGACCCCAGAUGGGCCCUCGCUCCUCAGCAGCACUCCAGGAAUGAAUGGCCACCUCCAGGCAAGAGAGCUACUACCUCGGAGCAGCCUUGUCUCAGACCUGCAGCCACCGUGUCUCGACCCUCCCUCCCUGAUCCACUCUGCCCGUCAGCAGGAUUCCGGUCUACACCCCGCAGAGACUCCGCAGCGUACGAGGAGAACCCCGCCUUCUACCAGAAAAAGAAGCGACUUCCUAGAUCUCCCGGAAGUCCCUUUCGCUCCCAGCGCUUCGCGUACCAGGAAGGGGACGGCGUCCUGAAAGGGACAUUUGAAAAACGGAGGCAACGCGUCUAUUAAUUAGGUGGCGGCGCCUGGGGUCGCAGCACUCCAGAGGCUGAGGUGGGAGAAUCGCUCGAGUCAGGGAGGCGGAGGUUGCAGUGAACUGCGAUCGCGCUACUGCACCCCAGCCUGGGCAACAAAGCUAGACCUUGCCUCAAAAAAAAAAAAAAAAAAAAAAAAAAAGACAUAAUGAAUGCAUCAGGCUAGCUAACAAUACCUCAACUCUGAUCAAUCAUACCAUCAUAUCAUUUCCUGGUGAGAUGCAUAGGAAAUACAGAGCAUCACCUAUUGCCAAAAAUUGAACCUAAUCAAGCCUCAAGAUCUAACUACCAGUUUAUAGGCUAUAUAGAGAUUAGCAGGAAUAUGUUAAGACACCAAAGAGUCUCGCCCUUUUGCCUAGUGGAGGAGCUCGGCUCACUGCAAGCUCCGCGCCACAACCCCCCUGCCGCCCCAGGUUCAAGAGAUUCUCCUGCCUCAGUCUCCCGAGUAGACUGGGAUUACAGGCGAGUGCCACCAUGCCCGGCUAAUUUUUGUAUUUUUGGUAGAGACGGGGUUUCAUUAUGUUGGCCAGGCUGAUCUCGAACUCCUGACCUCAAGUGAUCCGCCUGCCUUGGCCUCCCAAAGUGCUGGGAUUACAGGCGUGAGCCACAACGUUGGGCCAGGUAUUGUAUUUCUAUGUUAUUAUUAUUUUUUGUAUUUCUAUGUCAUACAGGCUUGUAUUUCUGUUAAAAACAAGUCCUUAUCUCUUUGAGAUACAUACUGAAGUUUUUACAGGUGAAAUAAUUUGGCCAGGAGUAAUGGUUCAUGUCUCUAAUUCCCACCACUUUGGGAGGUCCAGGUCGGGGUCGGGGGGUUGCUUGAGGCCAGGAGUUUGAGAUAAGAUUGGUCAACUACAACACAUAAAAAAUAGCCAGGCAUG
rnacentral:lncRNA from 1 species